GCCAGUGGCGAUCACACUAGUUUAAUCUAUCAAGACUAGUUUCUCACUGAAGCUGGGAGGUACCUGGUCAGUAUCUGGAUGGGAGACCACAUGGGAAAUCUUGGUUGCUGUUGGAA
rnacentral:rRNA from 1 species